rnacentral:misc_RNA from 1 species
AAAAAAAAAGAAAAAAAAAAAGCAGCUCUGGCAAUAGUAAUUUACUACUGUUAUGCAACCAUUAGGUGCAAAUUAUGUUGUCCUGGCCAGCCAACAUUGGAGCAGAAAAAGAAAAUAAAACAGAAAACACAAUUCAAUAAAGAAAAGAGAAGACCUGGAUACUAAAUCAUCAAUCUAACAUAUUGCUGUUUGAUAGAGCUACUUGCCUACAAUCAGUUUUGCUCUUGCAUGACCCUCAUUGAUUUGGAACUGGUCCCCUAGUCCAAAAUGAGCCAUCAAUAACCAAACCAAAGUAAUAAGCUCUCCACCUUUACUUAUCUGCUGGGCAUGGGCGUUCGCUCUGCAGUGGCUAGCAGCAUAUGACAACAAUUCCACCCACACUUUGCUCAGUAUCUCCCAUUUCUUCUCCAAAUUAUCGAGCUCUUGAGCAAGCAUACUUCCAUCAAACAGUACAGACUUGCUUCUAUCUCCUUUCACAGCAAUAGGCUUAACUUCUGUAUUUACUGCAAGAAUGCUUUUACAUGCUUCCUUUUCCUGAUUGGAUCUCAAACCCUUUCUUUUGAAGAAUCUGUCAGCCUCAGCACAGGUGUCUCGGAAUCUUAUUUUACCAAUACCUGCCACGGCUGCCAUUAUAGUAGGUUGCAUAAUCAGAAGAUACAACAUGUAAUCUGAUAAGAUCUUGCAGAAUUCUCUGUGACUAUAACUCUUCGGAUUAGCAUCAGUUUCUUUGUUGUACAAAAGCUCAGUAGCAACAUGCCACAACAAAAGGCUCUGAUCAUAAGCGACAUCUGAAACAUAAGGCAUUAAGCCAUGAUAUUGAUCUGAAUCAUUAUCCUGGAGGACCCAAUCUCCUCUGGCUGAACAUAUUCUCUUGGCAGUUUCUGGAUCAUCUGCAAAAAGGGAUUUCUUUUGCAGCUCAGUGAAGAUGAAUUCCCAAAGCUCCUUAGUAAAUGGCUCAAUUGACACAUAUAUUAUUUCAUCUACGAAGUCUUUAAGACCCAUGAAAUCAAUAACUUUGUCCUUGAGAAUGCCUAAUUUCUCAAUGGGUGUAUCCAUGUGUGUGAACCUAAUGAUCUUUUCGGUGCGAUCAACCACACAUUGAUGGACAUUCUUGAUGAAACCAUAACACCAGCUAUGCUUCUUGAUAGUGCAAAUCCUAUUUGGGCGCCCUUUGAGGCAAUAUCUUAUCAAAUUAUGGCCUGAGAUGCGGCCAGACCACCUGCGGAAGCAAAGGGGGGUAACCAGAACUGUGCAUUCGACACCAGGCUCUAUCUUAUCCCACCUUAAACUCUUCAUACUGAGAAAUUUGCGGAAAAUCAUCACUGUCAAAGUUUUGAAACAAGCGGCGAUAGAUUUCCAGCAAGAGUCAGAUACUUUACCUGAUGUUUUAAGAGCAGCCGCUCUCCAAUCAGAGAAAAUGGCCAUGAAGAGUGAUAUUGUAUCCAAUCCUAUGGCACCAAAAAGCAACGCAUAUGAAAUUCCAACAUCAAGCCCAUCAAAAUUUUGCUUAUUCACAUGAAAAUGAAAGACUGCAAGAGCUGAAACAACUGAACUAAAGGAUAAAACCCGGAAAAAAUAUCCCCAUUUGGAUUGCACAACCACUACCUUAGUAAAGAGAACUUCGUAGAUGAAGUUGAGCUCAGUUUCUAUCACUCUCAAAGCAUCUUCUGCUAAUAUGCUAUUGAAGAAUUCCCGGCUGUCAUUUCUCUCCUUAAAGCUGAAGAUGAGAUCAACAAUUAGUCCCUUGAAGAUUUUGAAGAACCCAUAAGCUUUCUGUACCACCUCCAGCUGACCAUCUAAUUUUAUAAUUUUGGGAGCAAUACCAGCAGUGUUACUACCCUUUUCAGGCUCUGCUAUCAUAAUAAUCUGUGUAGGAAGAUUGGCCUGUUUCUUGGAAGCAUAUUCCUCCAUGAGCUUGGCAUAAUUAGGACCAGGGUCUGGUUCUUUGAGCAUAGAGUCUCGAAAUCUAUCCAUACUCGCAAGAUACAGAGAACGGGUGCGCUCCAGAUACUUGAUGAUCCCAGCAAGAAAUAAGAGAAAUGUUGGAAUCAUUACCUUAUUCUUGGGAAGUGUUUGAACAAACACAUAACCAGUAGCCACAGCCUGGAAAAUGAGAGCAAGCAAGUGCCUAAGCCAGAGCUCAUUAUCCUCGAGAGAGAAAGCCGUAAUUGUGUCCGGACCACCAAGAUGCAGCAAAAGAAAGGGAGCCCAGAAAGCCAAGAGGUCACUAUUGUCUGUAGAGUUGCUUUGGACGUUGGAGAUGAGUCCUACAGCGAAGUUUGCAGUUGCAUCGGCGAGCAAGUAACCAGACCAUAUCAUCAUGAUUACGAGCUUUCUUGCAGUGCGUUUCCUGAAAGGAGCGAAGAAGAUGAGAAGGAUUUGAAGUAGAAGACUGAACAUUAAUGCUCCUCUGAUAUUCCAGUGUUCCCAUAUCUUCUUGACUCUCUCUGGGAUGGGAUCAGCCAUUUUCUUCCUUCUACGGCCUCUUUCUUCUGUUCUUGUUUGGAUGAUUUUGGAAUUUGCACAAAACUCAGUUGUUGUUGCUGCGGGUGCUGCGUUAGA